GCAGAAUCCCGUGAACCAUCGAGUCUUUGAACGCAAGUUGCGCCUGAAGCCAUUAGGUUGAAGGCACGUCUGCCUGGGCGUCACGC
rnacentral:rRNA from 1 species